rnacentral:rRNA from 1 species
UACGAAGGGUGCAAACGUUGCUCGGAAUUAUUGGGCGUAAAGCGCACGUAGGCGGCGCAGUAAGUCCCAUGUGAAAGCCCACGGCUUAACCGUGGAAGUGCAUGGAAACUACUGUGCUUGAGUACUUAAGAGGAUCGCGGAAUUCCCGGUGUAGAGGUGAAAUUCGUAGAUAUCGGAGGAACACCAGUGCGAAGGCGGCGAUC